rnacentral:rRNA from 1 species
ACGUAGGCAGCGAGCGUUGUUCGGAGUUACUGGGCGUAAAGGGUGUGUAGGCGGUUGUUUAAGUUUGGUGUGAAAUCUCCCGGCUCAACUGGGAGGGUGCGCCGAAUACUGAAUGACUUGGAGUGCGGGAGAGGGAUGCGGAAUUCCAGGUGUAGCGGUGAAAUGCGUAGAUAUCUGGAGGAACACCGGUGGCGAAGGCGGCAUCCUGGACCAAUACUGACGCUGAGGAGCGAAAGCCAGGGGAGCAAACGGGA